rnacentral:rRNA from 1 species
AUUGAACGCUGGCGGCAGGCCUAACACAUGCAAGUCGAACGGGUGGCGGACGGGUGAGUUAUGUCUGGGAAACUGCCUGAUGGAGGGGGAUAACUACUGGAAACGGUAGCUAAUACCGUAUACCAUCAGAUGUGCCCAGAUGGGUUUAGCUUGUUGUUGGGGUAACGGCUCACCAAGGCGACGAUCCCUAGCUGGUCUGAGAGGAUGACCAGACACACUGGAACUGAGACACGGUCCAGACUCCUACGGGAGGCAGCAGUGGGGAAUAUUGCACAAUGGGCGCAAGCCUGAUGCAGCCAUGCCGCGUGUAUGAAGAAGGCCUUCGGGUUGUAAAGUACUUUCAGCGGGGAGGCGUUACCCGCAGAAUAAGCACCGGCUAACUCCGUGCCAGCAGCCGCGGUAAUUC